GGGGGUGUUUGGUUUUGACAGCAUCGAUCUUUGAAAGUGUAAGCAUGCCGAGCGUUGGAUAAUUAGCUCGUAAAUCUGAAUAUUCAAACUACAAAUGGCAAUACUCAGUAUGCCAUGGCUGCCUAAUCAGUGAUUAGUUAGUCAUUAGGGCCGCCGCGCAGGUUUGUCUCUUACCAAGCGCCGCCGCCGACUUAAAAACAAACAGGGAUUGCGGCAAUCGAAGGCUGUGACGAUUGCUUAAGUACCAUCCAGCUACGGAGAUGAUUGGUUUGUUCUGCCCCGGCCAUUUCCCGACAAGCAAUGCAGAAAUAAGCAUGUAGAAAGCUUUUGGAUAUCAUGUUUGGACACCGGUUCGAGCCCGGUCACCUCCACAC
rnacentral:tmRNA from 1 species